UACGUAGGGUGCAAGCGUUAAUCGGAAUUACUGGGCGUAAAGCGUGCGCAGGCGGUUGUGCAAGACCGAUGUGAAAUCCCCGGGCUUAACCUGGGAACUGCAUUGGUGACUGCAUUGCUGGAGUAUGGCAGAGGGGGGUGGAAUUCCACGUGUAGCAGUGAAAUGCGUAGAGAUGUGGAGGAACACCGGUGGCGAAGGCAGCCCCCUGGGUCAAGAUUGACGCCUCAUGCACGAAAGCGUGGGGAGCAAACAGG
rnacentral:rRNA from 1 species